rnacentral:tRNA from 1 species
GGUGGCUCAGUGGUAAAGCACUUGCCUUGCAUGCAUGAGGCCCUGGGUUCCAUUCCUCAGCACCA